UGCCAACGUUUCAACCAUCGGCAUCAAGGAAUUGAUGUGACUUCGUGGACCCAGCGGAGAUAAAACAAGGAUGCGCGCUGCCAUACAUGUCGUCUUCAAUUGGAAACUAAAGCGCGUGCUAUGGGGUUGAUGCACAAGGAUUAAAGCCACUAUGCUGUUCUCUUGUUUAGGCAUAUUUCUGGGGCGAAAACAAGAAAAUGUAUGAAAGAUGGUAGAAUCUAUUUUUAUAGAUUUUAAUGGCUUUUGGAUUUGGGCGCGCGCGCGCCUCGAGAAUUCUCACUCACUAGAUUCUUAACGAUUUACUCGCUAGAUGACUCUAUAUUUUACUCACGAAAAUUUUGAACGCCGCGCGUCCGCGCCAUGAUAUCCUGCCAAUGAUUACAAACUACUAUAUUGGCUGCUUGAUUCUGUUGCUAAGGUUAUGCCUUUGAAAGUCACGAACAACAUUGUUGCUGAUAUCACUAUCAGAAAUAGCCAGACGUCCAGCAAAUGAUUUUUGUAGAAAGGCAAAUUUUUCGAUGCAGAAUGCAAAUGUUUCCCGCCGUGGCGUAAGAUGUGCUCCACCCAGUAAACUCCUAUUUCUCUACCGGGCAUCAGUUGAUGUUGCAUCAGCUUGGAAAGGCGCGUUGCAUUUCCCUGGUAGCUGCAAUGCAUGAGGGGAAAAUGGCGUGACAACCGUUACCUGGUGUCCCUUCUCGGCUAGUGCCUCUACGAUUGGCAUGAAAGAAAUUUUGUGACUUUUGGAACAAGCCGGAGCCAACACUAAAAUACGAUCUGCGUGGCUUAAGACCAGACAUUGGCCCAAUAAAACAACGAACGUUAUCGAUCAAAAUACUGCUUGAUUUUUCCCACUUCCAAAAGACCUGCUGUGGAAUUCGUGCAAAGACGUCGACAAACAUUUUGACCAAUUUCUCCGGCAUCGAAGACACCGGUAUAGCAGAUCCCAAUGUGAAGACGAUGAACCCAUCAUCCGCUGCGUCCGCCAAUGCUUGUCCUUACUUCCGGAAGCGACUUAGCUGGUCUUGUGUGUAGAGCUGGAAUCGGAAUCACAUUUUGAGUUAGCGGUCUCGUCCAAGCCGUUGCCGGAUGACUGUUGAGAAUGCAGAGCUGAGCAUCGCGCUCGAUUUCUAUUAUGGGUCGUGAAUUGGGGAAAUCUUUCCUGGCGAGGUCGUCGAUUGUGUUGAGCCACAACACUUUGCGAAGCAAAAAAAAAAGUUCACCUGCCAUUACGUUUCCUACUCUUUGCAUGAACGUCAUCUGACUACCGCCAUCUCCCAUUCCGACCGGAACGGAGGCGUAUUCCUGGGGAACCUGAAACGCGUCCAUCACCCAAGGUGCAAAUGGCGUUACAACUGUUACCUGAUGACCUUUCUCUGCUAGCACUUCCACGAUCGGCAUGAAAGAAAUUUUGUGGCUUUUGGAACAGACAGGUGCCAGCACCAAUAUCCGCUCUGCGCUGCUGAAGCUGAAUGUCAACCACUGGCUCAUCAAAAUAAUUAAAAUGUUUUGUUCCACCGUGGAGGAGGACGUGUUCUACCCAAUAGGCGGCUACUUCUCUUGAUGGCAUUAGCUCAUUGUGCAUCAGGCUGGACAUGCGAGUCACAUUACCCUUGUAGCUGAAGGUUUUCCCAUUCAAGUUUGAUGGCAUAUCCCUCUUCACUUGAUCGAAUAAGAAGACUAAGAAGAAAAGAAACGAAUUCGGCUCGGCAGCUGGAAAUUAUUUACGUUUAAAGAAAGCAGAAGAAACUUACGCGUAUUGAUCUCUUCCCAGUGGUAAGCCGAGUAUUGGAACUUUGUGUCGAGUGUUUUUGUGGCCUUUUCAAAAAAGAGAUCCUGCUGAGGCAGCCAGUCAACCAACCUGACGUUAUCUGGUAUUUGGGAUAGGCCAUCUUUUUCCCAUUUCCAAAUUAUACGUUGCGGCAGACGAGAAAACACACGGAGAAAUGUUUCCUGGAUGGGAACUGGCAUAGAAGAAACUCGAGAAUUAGAUCCGAGUGUAAAUACAAUUAAUCCAUUUUCUGCUCCAUCGACAAAUUCCUGUAAAUUCUUUAUGAAAAAAAGAAACCUGUGGAAGCGGUUUGGCCGGUCUAACGUGCAUGGCCCCAACAGGAAUGAAUGUCGGCGGAAGGGAACGUGUCCAACUGGAUGCCGGAUGAAUGUUUGCAAAGCAAAUUUCAGCAUUUUUUUCAAUUUCUGAUAUUGGUCGUGCAGUUGGAAAAUCCAGUUUAGCUAGCCGGUCUAAAACCGGUAAGAGAGAAGGUACCGAUUAACGGCGGUAUUCUUGCGUAAUCUUGAGUUACGCCUUUUGCUUCCAAAUUCCAAAUUGUUCCUGGCCCGGGAUCAAAAAGAAUCAAGGGGAUUCCCAGGUGAUCCACUAGUGGAAAACAAAAGUCGUUGAUGAUGGCGUCUACUAUGGCGAUAUCGUAGUUUUUCUUUUGUAUGAUUUCUUGAAUCUCCUUGUUGGCCACGAAUCUCUUAUAUGCAGUUGUCAUAACUGAUUGGACAAAUGGGGAAAAAUCGGCCAUUGUAUCAAAGAGACUGUGCUCCUUGAAAUCGUACCACUCUAACUCGACUAGGUCAACCAUUUCAUCCAUGGUGAUUUUCCGUUUCAACCAUCGGCAUGAAUGAAUGCAUGUGACUUCGUGGACCCAGCGGAGACAAAACCAGGAUGCGUGCAGCCAUACAUGUCGCCGAAAGAUGCUGCCUCAUCCAAUCGUUUGAAUCCAAUGAACUAAGACUCCCCGGCACUUCGAAAGAUAUAGCAGAGAGACGUUCCAAAUCGAGAAGUCGCCAGUACGGUUCAGGAAUGAUAAAAGAUUUCCUGUGAAGAGCGGCGACUGAAAUCCGAUUUCUUGAAUAUUUGGCACAACUCCAAAGUCGUCGAAAAGGAAAUGGAAUUUCAUCUGCAGUCUCCACUA